rnacentral:rRNA from 1 species
UACGUAGGGUGCGAGCGUUGUCCGGAAUUAUUGGGCGUAAAGAGCUCGUAGGCGGUGUGUCACGUCGGCCGUGAAAACCUGCAGCUUAACUGUGGGCGUGCGGUCGAUACGGGCAUCACUGGAGUUCGGCAGGGGAGACUGGAAUUCCUGGUGUAGCGGUGAAAUGCGUAGAUAUCUGGAGGAACACCGGUGGCGAAGGCGGCAUCCUGGACCGAUACUGACGCUGAGGAGCGAAAGCCAGGGGAGCAAACGGG